CUUUAAUGCUAGUGCUCAACUACAACCUUGUAGACAAAUCCCACAAACUUAUAUUGAAAGAUGUAGGAGAUAACUUGACUACCACUAGGUCGCUCCAAGCUCAGUUAACUCCAAAUCAACCAAAACCUCACAAAAACCACCAUCACUAUUCGAACCAAACAAAGAACAAACACCCAAACUCCAGUUGCUUUCUAUUGCCAACGACACAAAGGCAGUCACAAAGGCCAAGAGAAGAAGAGAAAUCGAAGAAGGACUCAAUUACAGAGAACGGGGGCUUUUCUUAUUCUCAAAAGGGAGAAGGUAAAAAUACAAUAACACACACACACAGCUUCCUUCACAAUGAGGCCAAUAUAUAGUUUUAGAGUGUAAUAAUAGUGGGCUAAUAUAAUGGGCUCAUAGACCAACG
rnacentral:lncRNA from 1 species